UAGGGAAUCUUCGGCAAUGGGGGCAACCCUGACCGAGCAACGCCGCGUGAGUGAAGAAGGUUUUCGGAUCGUAAAGCUCUGUUGUAAGAGAAGAACGUGUGUGAGAGUGGAAAGUUCACACAGUGACGGUAACUUACCAGAAAGGGACGGCUAACUACGUGCCAGCAGCCGCGGUAAUACGUAGGUCCCGAGCGUUGUCCGGAUUUAUUGGUCGUAAAGCGAGCGCAGGCGGUUUACUAAGUCUGCAGUUAAAGGCAGUGGCUUAACCAUUGUUCGCUUUGGAAACUGUUAAACUUGAGUGCAGAAGGGGAGAGUGGAAUUCCAUGUGUAGCGGUGAAAUGCGUAGAUAUAUGGAGGAACACCGGUGGCGAAAGCGGCUCUCUGGUCUGUAACUGACGCUGAGGCUCGAAAGCGUGGGGAGCAAACAGG
rnacentral:rRNA from 1 species